rnacentral:rRNA from 1 species
GACGAACGCUGGCGGCGUGCUUAACACAUGCAAGUCGAACGGAAAGGCCCUGCUUUUGUGGGGUGCUCGAGUGGCGAACGGGUGAGUAACACGUGAGUAACCUGCCCUUGACUUUGGGAUAACUUCAGGAAACUGGGGCUAAUACCGGAUAGGAGCUCCUGCUGCAUGUUGGGGGUUGGAAAGUUUCGGCGGUUGGGGAUGGACUCGCGGCUUAUCAGCUUGUUGGUGGGGUAGUGGCUUACCAAGGCUUUGACGGGUAGACGGCCUGAGAGGGUGACCGGCCACAUUGGGACUGCGAUACGGCCCAGAAUCCUACGGGAGGCAGCAGUGGGGAAUAUUGCACAAUGGGCGGAAGCCUGAUGCAGCAACGCCGCGUGCGGGAUGACGGCCUUCGGGUUGUAAACCGCUUUCGCCUGUGACGAAGCGUGAGUGACGGUAAUGGGUAAAGAAGCACCGGCUAACUACGUG